GACGAACGCUGGCGGCGUGCUUAACACAUGCAAGUCGAACGGAAAGGCCCUGCUUUUGUGGGGUGCUCGAGUGGCGAACGGGUGAGUAACACGUGAGUAACCUGCCCUUGACUUUGGGAUAACUUCAGGAAACUGGGGCUAAUACCGGAUAGGAGCUCCUGCUGCAUGGUGGGGGUUGGAAAGUUUCAGCGGUUGGGGAUGGACUCGCGGCUUAUCAGCUUGUUGGUGGGGUAGUGGCUUACCAAGGCUUUGACGGGUAGCCGGCCUGAGAGGGUGACCGGCCACAUUGGGACUGAGAUACGGACCAGACUCCUACGGGAGGCAGCAGGGGGGAACAUUGCACAAUGGGCGGAAGCCUGAUGCAGCAACGCCGCGUUCGUGAUGACGUCUUUCGGGUUGUAAACCGAUGUCGCCUGUGACGAAGCGUGAUUGACGGUAAUGGGUAAAGAAGCACCGGCUAACUACGUG
rnacentral:rRNA from 1 species